AGGAGCAAUGGGAGCAAGGGAGUGCCGUGGCCGUAGGAGCUUGUGUCUCCCUGUGCUGGAGCUCUGAACUCACAAAACUGCAGGGGCAAGUGAGCGUGGCAGGGCUGGCACUGACUCCAGGCACCCAUGGAGGAGCCAUACGCACAUGCAGCUUAGCUCAGGCAACACAGAGCUCUCUGCUUUGCAGGAACUACAGUACUGUCUCCCAGCUCAGCAAAGGGAAAGACACCUUGCACCCAGCAAGCAAGUCACCAUGAGGUCCUCCUGGAUACCACAGACCCAGCAAUCUAAGCUCAUCCUGUCCUUUACCAGAACACCCUAAAGAAGAGAGAUCUCUGCCACCACGUGUUGAACAGCCAGAGUCAAGAAACCCAACCCAAUGUGAUGGCCAAACAAGGCAUCCUGGGCAUCCUGAGGGCUACCUUUGCCAUCACCAAAAAACAGCAGCCUGCAACUGGAACGGGAUGUGUCCAAGUGAAAACAGAGUUGUGUCCAGUAGCCCCAGUGGCCACACCUCACACAUUUCUGUGAUUGGCAUGGAAGACUUUCUGCUUCCGAGCUGCAACUGAGUAGUUGUCCUACUGCUUUUCCCUGGGAAACCUGGAUCUCACAGGUGCAGGGAGACCUGUGAGAUCAGAUUUCCAAUAAAACUUCUCUCUGAAAGAUCUCCAGAGAACUGUAGAUUUAAAAGAGGUGGAUGAAGAUGGAAGUCCCUGGCAGGUCCAAACAGGAGACAAAGCACAUGCCUACUGAUGUUCACCUGAAAAUGGGAUUUUUGAAUUCUUAUUUUGGGUCAAUUUGCAGAAAAGGCAUACUGAAUGAAUAAGUGUUG